UGGGACUUCAUCACAGAGCAGACCGGCAUGUUCAGCUUCACAAGCCUCACCCCUAAUCAAGUGGAAUAUUUGGUGAAGCAGAAACACAUCUACCUAAUGGUCAACGGUCGCAUCAGCAUGUAUGGUCUGACCACCAAGAACAUUGACUACGUGGCUGAGUCCAUCCAUGAAGCUGUCACAAUGGUUCAAUAACAGGCUGCCCAACUGAUCCAGCACAUUACUUGGUUCAUAUAUUCACACAUACAUACAGACACACCCAGGAGUCAGAUUUCUGUUUGUUUUCAGGCAGGACAUUGUCAGAAUUCUUGCUUUGGUUUUACCCUGAUUAUCAUCUGGGUCAAGGGUUGUUUGUGUACCUUAAACCCUCCUUUGUAUCAUUACAAAAACCUUUGUUUGUGAAUAAAAACCUCAUGAAUGCUGAA